GACGAACGCUGGCGGCGUGCCUAAUACAUGCAAGUUGAGCGCUGAAGGUUGGUACUUGUACCAACUGGAUGAGCAGCGAACGGGUGAGUAACGCGUGGGGAAUCUGCCUUUGAGCGGGGGACAACAUUUGGAAACGAAUGCUAAUACCGCAUAAAAACUUUAAACACAAGUUUUAAGUUUGAAAGAUGCAAUUGCAUCACUCAAAGAUGAUCCCGCGUUGUAUUAGCUAGUUGGUGAGGUAAAGGCUCACCAAGGCGAUGAUACAUAGCCGACCUGAGAGGGGGAUCGGCCACAAUGGGACUGGGACACGGCCCAAACUCCUACGGGAGGCAGCAGUAGGGAAUCUUCGGCAAGGGACGAAAGUCUGACCGAGCAACGCCGCGGGAGGGAAGAAGGUUUUCGGAUCGUAAAACUCUGUUGGUAGAGAAGAACGUUGGUGAGAGUGGAAAGCUCAUCAAGUGACGGUAACUACCCAGAAAGGGACGGCUAACUACGUG
rnacentral:rRNA from 1 species